GCUGGAAGGGCAUCCGCUGCGUAAAAAUUUGCUGGAUAAGUUGGCGGUUCAUUCCGCUGUGGCGACCCCAGAUUAAUAAAGGGACUAAGCUGACAAGAAAAUUAAUAUAUAUAUAUAUAUAUAUAUAUAUAUAUAUAUAUAUAUAUAUAUAUAUAUACACAUCAAGAAGGUCGCUCAAAAGCCUGAGCUGGCGUUUUAGGGUGCUCCGAGCGAGUCUUUGGUUAAUUCACUGAUUCAAAUGAUGAUGUCUGUUCAAGUCUCCAGAUAACAGCUAUCUGAUUCAAUCAACUGUUGUCAAAAGUAAAGCCAUUAUUACCAAAAGAGUUAAACCUUGUGAACAAAACUGUCUAAUGAUACUUUUGGGAAACAAAGUCUUCAGUUAAAAAGUCAAAGCAAGUCUCUUGUUUACAUCUCACCAAUUCAAGUGAUCAGGUCAGAGCAAGUCUCUAGCAAGGAUUCACUGAUUCAAAGCAUUCAGUCAGAGCGAGUGUCCAGUUAAUGACUCUUUGAAUCAAAGGAUUUAAUUGGUGUGAGUCUUCAGUUUACUGAUUCA
rnacentral:lncRNA from 1 species